AUAACCCAUCAUCUCUCUACCCAAUCCACCCCAAACCCUGGCUGUAGUCGCCCAUUGACCUCAACCCACCCCAACCCUCGCCGUCACAGCAAGACGAAUUUGAAGUCCGCCAUCACUGGCAGGGGCGGAGGUUCCUUGUCAUCGUCGGCUCCGAUUAGAAGAUCAAAGGUCGUGGCUUCUGCAAAGGGGCUAACGCAGAUCGUGAUUCCCCCAUGGCUGGUCGUUUCGAUUAUUUCCAUUCCGAGGGUGGCCCUAGCUCCGAACGAUGAUUGAAGCCCAUGGCAAAGGAAAUCUGAAGCCCCAUCAAAUUGAGGCUAAGUUUGAAUCACUCUACAAAGACACCCAAAAGAAACUCCAUGAUGGAGCUUUCGGCGAGGUUCUCAAAUCAACCCAGGUAAUUUAGACCACCUUAAAUAUUCUAAAUAGUAUUUUUAACAUUUUUUAUUUGGAUAUAUUUGCACAGAAAUUAUUUUUUUUAAUAUUAUUAAGAUUAGUCAUGAAUUGAAUCUAUAUAAUUACAACAAAGAUGGAAAAUACUAAAUUUCAAUCUGCAAAAAUACUAAAUUACGGCAAACCUGCAUAUUACAAAUAAAUUAAGGUGAGUUUUGGUUGUUCUUAAUUAGAGGAUUACAAUCUCUAUGAUAUGCAAAGCUGCAUAUUACAAAUAAAUUAGAAUAAAAAAAUUUAACCAAUGUGAAAAUUAUGGAAUGAAAAAACGUUACCAUUCUUAGAAAUGUAACCGUUAUUAAUAAAAAAAAAAGAAAAAAUGAUACAUUAAUAUGUAUGUUAUAAUAAAAUAUUCUAAAUAAUAUUUUUAGCAUUUUUGAUUUGGAUAUACUUACACUGAAAUCAUUUUUUAAUAUUGUUAAGAUUAGGCAUAAAUUGAAUUAUUAUUAUAGCAAAGUUGAAAAAUACUAAAUUUCAAUCUGCAAAAAAUCCUAAAUUACAGCAGAACUGUAUAUUACAAAUAAAUUAAGGUGAGUUUCGGUUGUUCUUAAUCAGAGGAUUACAAUCUCUAUGAUAUGUAAAGCUGCAUAUAUUACAAAUAAAUUAGAAUAAAAAAAUGUAACCAUUCUUAGAAACGUAACCAUUAUUAAUAAAAAAAGAAAAAAUGAUGCAUUAAUAUGUAUGUUAUAAUUAAAUAUUCUAAAUAAUAUUUUUAGCAUUUUUGAUUUGGAUAUAUUUGCACAGAAAUAAUUUUUUUUUAAUAUUGUUAAGAUUAGGCAUGAAUUAAAUUAUUAUUGUUACAGCAAAGUGGAAAAAAAUGGAAAAUAUUAAAUUUCAAUCUGUAAAAGUACUAAAUUACAGCAAAUAUGAAAUGAUUACAGCAAAGAUUUGGUGGCUAUUUUGUUAUAAUAUAUAUAUAUAUAGAUAGAUAUAGAUUCGAUUAUAAUAAUUUUAGCAAUAUUUAUGCAUUAAUAUGUAUGUUAUAAUUAAAUAUUCUAAAUAGUAUUUUUAGCAUUCUUUAUUUGGAUAUAUUUACAGAAAAAUCAUUUUUUUAAUAUUAUUAAGAUUAGGCAUGAAUUGAAUUAUUAUUAUUAUUAUAGCAAAGAUGAAAAAUACUAAAUUACAACAAAGCUGCAUAUUACAAAUAAAUUAAGGUGAGUUUCGGUUGUUCUUAAUCAGACGAUUACAAUCUCUAUGAUAUGCAAAACUGUAUAUUAUAAAUAAAUUAGAAUAAAAAAAUGUAACAAAUGUGAAAAUUAUGGAAUGAAAAAACGUAACCAUUCUUAGAAAUAUAACCAUUAUUAAUAUAAAAAAAGAAAAAAUGAUGCAUUAAUAUGUAUGUUAUAAUUAAAUAUUUUAAAUAAUAUUUUUAGCAUUUUUUAUUUGGAUAUAUUUGCACAGAAAUCAUUUUUUUUAAUAUUGUUAAGAUUAGGUAUGAAUUGAAUUAUUAUUAUUAUUAUUAUGUGAAUUGAAUUAUUAUUAUUAUAGAAAAAGUGAGAAAAAAUGAAAAAUACUAAAUUUCAAUAUGUAAAAAUACUAAAUUACAACAAAUAUGAAAAAACUAUACCAAAAAUACUAUCAUUAAAUCUGCAUAUUAAAAUAAAAAAUAUGAAUAAAAAUUAGACAAUGUAACCAAUCUUUAUUAGAUGAUUACAAUAUUUGUAAUAUGCAAAACUGCACAUUACAAAUAAAUUAGAAUACAAAAUGUAACUGAUGUGAAAAUUAUGAAAUUAAAAAAAGUAACCAUUCUUAGAAAUGUAAUCAUUAUUAAUAAAAAAUAAAAAAUAAUAAAAGUAUAAAAUUAUCCAUUUUUGAUCUAGAACGAUAAAAAAAAAAAGAAUUUAGACGUACCUCCCUAUCGUGAAAAACAAUUUCAAACGUGUUCACCUCGUCGACGUUAUCAUAUAGAGGCUUCUCAUAAUGUCGCAUAACCCGCAACUUCAUUGCCCAUUGAGUUUUGUUUGAGUUAAUAUCGGAUACCAAGUUGAAUAUCGGCGCCAUGCUCGUACUAUGUUGUUUAGGACUUGAGAACGGGUAAAUAAGAAAAAAAAAUUACAUAAGUACAAUGUAAACACAAUAAUCUUUAGAAAUGUUUUAGGUAGACAAAAGAAAUGCCAUUAAAACAUGACUCACCGUAAUGCAAUUCCAAAUGACAAAGAAAUGAGAAGUACGUGGGAAAUGAAGACACAGUUUCUGGUAUAUAUAUAAAUUUUCAAAAUAUGGCACUUAUUAAUCAAUGUGUUACCCGAGACAACCCACUGCACAACCAAAUGUGCAGUGGAAAUUGAAAAGCCAGCUACACACCAUCCAAUGGUAUACUUAUGCACUCUGCCGGCUAUGACAGUGUUCGGGUAUACACUUGUUUAAUUUCCUUUCUCUGCUGAAAAUUUCACAUUUAUUUCUUGGAGUUUAUCUUGAUUUUGGAUUGUGUUUAGGCUAUAAAUUCAUUGCUUAAUUGUGUAUAUUGGUUGGGAUAAUUAUUGGUGGCUUUUGGGUUGUCUCCACUAUGGUACCCGAGACAACCCACUGCAGUGGAAAUUGAGAAGGUAGCUGCACACUAUCCAAUGGUACAUCUCUGCAUCUUGCUGGCUAUGAUAGUAUUCAAGUACAUUUGUUUAAUUUCUCUUCUCUGCUAGAAAUUUCACAUUUAUUUUUUGGAGUUUAUCUUGGUUUUGGAUUGUGUUUAAGCUAUGACUCCAUUGAUUAAUUAUGUAUAUUGGGAUUAUUAUUGGUGGUUUUUUGGUUAUCUUCACUGUGGUACCCGAGACAACCCAUUGUACAACCAAAUGUGCAGUGGAAAUUGAAAAGGCAGCUACACACCAUCCAAUGGUACACUCAUGCACUUUGCUGACUAUAACAGUGUUCAGGUAUACAUUUGUUUAAUUUCCUUUCUCUGCUGGAAAUUUCACAUUUAAUUUGUUUAAUUUUCUUUAUCUGCUGGAAAUUUCAUAUUUCUUUCUUAUAGUUUAUCUUGAUUUUAGAUUGCGUUUAGGCUAUAACUCCACUGAUUAAUUAUGUAUAUUAGGAUUAUUAAUCAGUGGAGUUUGGGUUGUCUCUAUUGUGGUAGCUGAGACAACCCACUGCACAACCAAAUGUGCAGUGGAAAUUGAAAAGGCAACUACACACCAUCCAAUGGUACACUUAUGCACUUUGCCGGCUAUGACAGUAUUCAAGCUAUAACUCCAGUGCUUAAUUGUGUAUAUUGGUUGGGAUUAUUACACCAUCAAAUGGUACACUUAUGCAUUUUGUCGGCUAUAUAUAUAUAUUAUAUAUAUAUUAUAUCACUUAAAUAUUAUAUAUCACUUAAAUCAAAUCAAGUUCACCUUACUUGUCCCAUACAUGUUGCGUGAAAUCACACCAUUUAAUCCAUGAAACUUGCAGGGGAAUGGGAUGCAAUUCGAGACUCAGGGCUUCUCACGCGGCACACUGCUACGCUCAGACUAUAUAUAUAUAUAUAUUGCACUAUAUUAAUAGAAAAAUUAUACUUUGAGGCCUCACAUUUCAUCUUAAAUUCAUUAGAACAAUUGCUUAAUUGCAAUUACAUCCUCCAACACUGAAUUAGAUUGCAUUCAGAUACUGAAAAUCCAAAAUUAAUAAUUUAAAGUUUAGUUAAAAAUGACGAUUUCGCCCCAGUGUCUUCACUGGGCUAUCGUUUCAUCCCGAAACUAUUGAAGGGUUGUUCAUUACGCAAAACCGGAGCCCCUAGGGUUUCGUUGAUUUUUUCGGGAGUCUCCUACGACAAUUCGAUUUUAUAGCCUAAAUAACAGCUGUAUUUUAGCUGUACCGAAAAUUGUUUCCGAUCCGAUUUCUUUUGAUACCAUAAAUCUUAUCUCAGGACGCUCAUUGAGACCAUAUAAUUUUCCUUAGAGAAUUUCACUCCGAGGCAUUCCCUGCAAUUGAUUUAAUACUUAUAACUGUUAUCAAGCCAAUUUUUUGGUAUUCUAAACUUAUUAAAAUUACGUGGCAACCUUAUCUAAACAUGGGGUAUUACACAGCCAGCUCACGCGGUCGCGCGCACACGCAUAGGAGCAGUAGGUCGCGGGUUCGAGCUUGGAGGCGGUCGCGCACGCAGUGAGGGAAUUGCUGAUUUUUCAGCAAAGCCUAGCCCCAAAAUGACGUCAUUUUGGGGCAAGGCGGUGGCUAAAUUCAGCUGCCACGCGGCAGCUUCUGGCGACCUCAUUCUUCAGCUUUUUAACUCCCGAUUUUGGGAGUAAUUCACAGUGGAAUCGAGCAACAACCAGAGAGUAGAAGAAGAAGAAAAUUGGGGAGAAAAGAUGGCGCACAGAAGCUAAGAAAUUGGAGAAAAUUUGGUAUAAAUUACAGGUAAACUUAGUUUAAUUAAAGAUUAAAUUAGCUGGGGAAGUAGGAAAAUUAUAUUGAGAGUAUUGUAUGGUUGAAAUUUUAUUUAGGCUUCGAUUUUAUUAAUUUUGAUCGAAUUAAGCUAAUUUGCAGUGUGUAUUAAUUUAGCGGCGUGUGGGCGUAUAAUCACCGAAAUCAGUUAAUUUAGGGCAAGCUCUUACUUCUUUCGUGAUUCUCAAUCGAUUUAUGAAUUCUAUAUCCUUCCUCAACCCGAUUUGGUUAUAGUUUCCUGUGGGCGUGAGUGGUAAUGACAAACGGUGUGAGCUGUCGUUUGGUGAGGUAACGUUUUGUCUGUUUGUGAUACUGGAGCGAAUCGUCAUCGGGCCGAGGGCGGCUGUUGACCGGUUGUUCCUAGUCACAGAUUGUCGACCGGUACUUGAUCACUGUCGAUCGGUUCUGCCAUUAUGUGGCAUAUUGCGUGACAUUAUAGUGCAUGAGAUUGGGCUUACAUUCAUUAGGGGUCAUGCUUUAUAUGUACGGGGAAGUGUGCUCAUUGGCAUAAUCCGAUUGGCCUGUUGAGUGACAAUUUGGGUACGAUAGGCGAGCAUAUGCAUUUAGAGCAUUUUGCUUGUGUGGGUUCUUAUAUGGGCGUAGCAUAGCCUGAUGCUUGGCUUAUGGGAGUUUUGUCAUCACGUUAAUGCUGCAAGAGCCAUUGCAUUUCUUAUCUGUUGCAUCGCGUGGUUACCUUUUGACUUAGUAUAUGAUUGUGGCUUGUGGUAUGGAGUUGACCCUCGAUAGCUAUGAGUGUGAGCUAGGCUCCAGAUAGCUAUGACAUGGGGACUCCGGUACGUGACUGUGAUGAGAGCUUCAGGCUCGUGUGGAUCGUGUUGUGGGAGCUUCGGGCUCAUGGGUUUUAUGUCUACCAGUUUAUGGCUGUGGCAGGUUUGUAUGUUGGGACUUGGGUGCUAGGAUGUGUAUUUCUUACGUGGGCCCCAAGAACUAUUAUGUGCAUUGCUAUAUUUAUGUGGAUUACGGGAUUCUUUAUUUCACGGUAUGGCAUGGCAUGAUCAUAUGAUGCAUUGCACUUUGUGCGGGUGUAUUCUGGGUGGGAUGUGUCCCUAGUUUUGUUUUUGUUAUAUAGCGAGGUGUACUCAAUUGUGGUUUAUUUCUGGAUUAACUUUGUCUAGCGAGACCUAUAUCGAGUAUGGCUAUUUCUGAUUUUAGUUUGUCUUACCUGUUGAUAGUGGGAUGUGUUCCGGUGUGGGAGAUCUAUGCUUAGCUUUACCUCCAUUAUUUUAUUAUGCUUGCUGAGCCUUGUGGCUCAUCUAGUUUUUACCAUCAUUCCAAGAGUAGGAGCUGACGCAGUGGUUAAACUAUUUGGCG